CCGAAUAGGGGAGCCGAAGGGAAACCGAGUCUUAACUGGGCGUUAAGUUGCAGGGUAUAGACCCGAAACCCGGUGAUCUAGCCAUGGGCAGGUUGAAGGUUGGGUAACACUAACUGGAGGACCGAACCGACUAAUGUUGAAAAAUUAGCGGAUGACUUGUGGCUGGGGGUGAAAGGCCAAUCAAACCGGGAGAUAGCUGGUUCUCCCCGAAAGCUAUUUAGGUAGCGCCUCGUGAAUUCAUCUCCGGGGGUAGAGCACUGUUUCGGCAAGGGGGUCAUCCCGACUUACCAACCCGAUGCAAACUGCGAAUACCGGAGAAUGUUAUCACGGGAGACACACGGCGGGUGCUAACGUCCGUCGUGAAGAGGGAAACAACCCAGACCGCCAGCUAAGGUCCCAAAGUCAUGGUUAAGUGGGAAACGAUGUGGGAAGGCCCAGACAGCCAGGAUGUUGGCUUAGAAGCAGCCAUCAUUUAAAGAAAGCGUAAUAGCUCACUGGUCGAGUCGGCCUGCGCGGAAGAUGUAACGGGGCUAAACCAUGCACCGAAGCUGCGGCAGCGACGCUUAUGCGUUGUUGGGUA
rnacentral:rRNA from 1 species